UACGGAGGGUGCAAACGUUGCUCGGAAUUAUUGGGCGUAAAGCGCACGUAGGCGGCCGAUUAAGUCGGGUGUGAAAGCCCAGGGCUCAACCCUGGAAGUGCACUCGAAACUGGACGGCUUGAAUAUGGAAGAGGGUUGCGGAAUUCCCGGUGUAGAGGUGAAAUUCGUAGAUAUCGGGAGGAACACCAGUGGCGAAGGCGGCACC
rnacentral:rRNA from 1 species